UCUCAGCAGCUGUGGUUACCUGUACAAGACCUAUGCAAGAUGAAAUGAGUCAACAUUUUAGUGUGGAGGGGGAAGGGGCUGAUGACCUUCCCCCCAAAAAAACCCAUGAGGAACAAUAGGUGGUGGAUUCUGGGGGAGGGAAAGUCAUGUUUCUUCAAGGGCGUGGCUCCUGAUAGGUCAACCGUGCUCUGGUGGAUGACCCCACACCCAGUAAUAUAUGAAUGCACAAACUGCAUUUGGUGGGUUAGUAUUAAAAAAUGGGACACUUAGUCAGGGGAUGGGAGGCUGGAGGUGAGAGUUCCGGAAAGGUUUGGAGGAGGAGUGUAAGGAAAACAUGAUCAAAAUACUUUGAAUGAUUUUCUCAAAUCAUCAUUUCUGGGGGAAGUGUGGAUACAUACAUACAUAUAUCUCAGUGGUACAGGAAAAUUGUUUAGCAAAUUUAUAAGGCUAUGCCUUGUGUUUAAAUGUCUCUUAAAUAAUGUAGUGAGUUUCAGCUUUACUCAUCUUUUAAAGGAAUAUCCAAAUAUCUAAAAAAGGUAAUCUAUAAAUGUCUGUGUUGGACAUAUACUAAGAAAUUUUGUUUUCAAUCUAUAAUUUUGCAACCAGUACACUACGUGUAUUCCACUGAAUAUAAAUAACGUUUCCGCUCCAUCUGCAAUACAAGUCUAUAAAGCCUAUUCUAGAAGAGUGCCUAGGAAAUUUAAGAGUAUUUUCUGUUGAGUUUUGGAGAAAUUUAGUACAUUUCCUUAGACCCAUCAUACAUCAUAAUUGCUUUGGUUUUGGUAUCUUGAUUGUUUAUUUUCCAGGCCCUGAGAACUUUAACUAUGCUUUAGAUAAAUCUUUGUCUCCAAAGAAUUAGCUGAUUAGAUAAAAUGCUAUCUUUUUUCAUUGUGAUAUGUUACUCACUGCAUUAUCCUUGGAGCUUUUCUAGUUUGUUUCUCAGAAUCAUGCAAACACACAGAAUAAUGACUCUAGGUUCUAGUGAGUCCUUGGUAAAUACGGUGCACACCUCUAAAU
rnacentral:lncRNA from 1 species